CAGCAGCCACGGGAAUACGUAGGUGGCAAGCGUUGUCCGGAAUUAUUGGGCGUAAAGGGCUCGCAGGCGGUUUCUUAAGUCUGAUGUGAAAGCCCCCGGCUCAACCGGGGAGGGUCAUUGGAAACUGGGAAACUUGAGUGCAGAAGAGGAGAGUGGAAUUCCACGUGUAGCGGUGAAAUGCGUAGAGAUGUGGAGGAACACCAGUGGCGAAGGCGACUCUCUGGUCUGUAACUGACGCUGAGGAGCGAAAGCGUGGGGAGCAAACAGGAUUAGAUACCCCGGUAGUCCCUGUCUCUUAUAA
rnacentral:rRNA from 1 species